rnacentral:misc_RNA from 1 species
CCGAGUUGUUAGUUGCACUAUGCAACGCACUCCCACCCUUGUGUGCAAUGUCAGUCGAUCUUCUUCAUGGAGGUCGGCCAAACAUCAACCUUAUCUUUUAACUCUUUGUCUGAAAAAUAUUAUGAAUAAACAAUUCAAAAUA